UGUGUAGUGAUGAUGAAUUCUGAAGCUACAUGAAGUUUGGAGGUGUGUAGUGAUGAACUCUGAAGCUACAUGAAGUUUGGAGGUGUGUAGUGAUGAACUAAUCUGAAGCUACAUGAAGUUUGGAGGUGUGUAGUGAUGAACUAAUCUGAAGCUACAUGAAGUUUGGAGGUGUGUAGUGAUGAACUAAUCUGAAGCUACAUGAAGUUUGGAGGUGUGCAGUGAUGAACUCUGAAGCUACAUGAAGUUUGGAGGUGUAUAGUGAUGAACUCUGAAGCUACAUG